rnacentral:rRNA from 1 species
AACGAACGCUGGGGGCAGGCUUAACACAUGCAAGUCGAACGAUCUCUUCGGAGGUAGUGGCAGACGGGUGAGUAACACGUGGGAACGUACCUUUCAGUCAGGAAUAACUCAUGGAAACGUGAGCUAAUACUCGAUACGCCCUUUUGGGGAAAGAUUUAUCGCUGAAAGAUCGGCCCGCGUCUGAUUAGCUAGUUGGUGGGGUAAUGGCCUACCAAGGCGACGAUCAGUAGCUGGUCUGAGAGGAUGAUCAGCCACACUGGGACUGAGACACGGCCCAGACUCCUACGGGAGGCAGCAGUGGGGAAUAUUGGACAAUGGGCGCAAGCCUGAUCCAGCCAUGCCGCGUGAGUGAUGACGGCCUUAGGGUUGUAAAGCUCUUUCGACGGGGACGAUAAUGACGGUACCCGUAGAAGAAGCCCCGGCUAACUUCGUGCCAGCCGCCGCAGUAACAC